GACGAACGCUGGCGGCGUGCUUAACACAUGCAAGUCGAACGGAAAGGCCCUGCUUUUGUGGGGUGCUCUAGUGGCGAACGGGUGAGUAACACGUGAGUAACCUGCCCUUGACUUUGGGAUAACUUCAGGAAACUGGGGCUAAUACCGGCUAGGAGCUCCUGCUGCAUGGUGGGGGUUGGAAAGUUUCGGCGGUUGGGGAUGGACUCGCGGCGUAUCAGCUUGUUGGUGGGGUAGUGGCUUACCAAGGCUUUGCCGGGUAGCCGGCCUGAGAGGGUGACCGGACACAUUGGGACUGAGAUACGGCCCAGACUCGUACGGGAGGGAGAAGUGGGGAAGAUUACACAAUGGGAGGAAGCCUGAUGCAGCCACGCCGCGUGGGGGAUGACGGCCUUCGGGUUGUAUACCGCUUUCGCCUGUGACGAAGCGUGAGUGACGGUAAUGGGUAAAGAAGCACCGGCUAACUACGUG
rnacentral:rRNA from 1 species